rnacentral:rRNA from 1 species
CGUCUAGGCGGUCGGGCAAGUCACCUGUGAAAGCCCUCGGCUCAACCGGGGAAGGUCAAGUGAAACUGCUCGGCUAGGGUGCAGGAGAGGAGGGUGGAACUCACAGAGUAGCGGUGGAAUGCGCAGAUACUGUGAGGUACCCCGAUGGCGAAGGCAACCCUCUGGCCUGCUACCGACGCUGAAGCGCGAAAGCGUGGGGAGCAAAGG